rnacentral:rRNA from 1 species
CGUAAGAGUAAGACCUCUCAUAGACUAUGAGUUUGAUAGGCCUGAUGUGUAAGCGUGGUGACACGUUCAGCUUGCAGGUACUAAUCGGUCGAGGGCUUUUCCUU